rnacentral:lncRNA from 1 species
CCGUCGCGGGCUCGCGGGCAGUGCCCAGGCACGGACGGAUGGAGGUCCUGAUCUCCGGUUCUAGCUCUGGGACCCUCGGUCCUUUGUAAGCAAGUAAUGUGGCCAGAUCCGUGCUUGUGAGAGCGGGUAAAACACACAUGACCCGUUACCUUAUGCCGGCCUCUAGAUUAACUUGAACACAGAUUCUCUUACUGAUCAUCUCAACUUGGGGAAAUCAACUUUGUGGGAGUUCCACAGGUACCAAGACUUCCAUGCAUUUGACCUCUCAGGAGCCACUCGAGUUCUUGAAUGGGUUGGUGAAAAAGGUAAUAUACCUCGCCUGCCACUAAAAGAGGUGGGUUUCUGCCUCGGGCCGAACCUUUAGAGAGACCCAUUCAACUUCCGUGCCCUGACACAAGGCUGCUCAGAGAAUGGGGAAGGAGUCUUUGUUGCUGGUUAUGAAAGUUUGAAAAAAAAUGAGAUUCUUCAUUUGAUUCUACCUCUAAGACUCUCUGUAAAGGAAAACCAGGGCUUAUACCCAGAGAGGGACUUCAAAGUACGCCACGGAGGAUUCUCAGACAGAGCUGUCUUUGACCUAAAGCACGUGCCAGAUACCAGGUUGCUGGUGACCAGUGGGCUUCCAGGGUGUUACAUACAAGUGUGGCAAAUUAGAGA